UGUCCUGCCUCUCUGCUCCCAGCUGUUAAGAGGUCAGUGUUGAUCAGUGGCUGUUCAGACCUUUCAGAGACACUGAACACACCAGCAGCACAAUGAUGAUGUCACUGACUCUACUGCUGACCACCCUGGGGCUCCUUGUUCAGGGUUCAUCAGGAGAAAUCAUCCUGACUCAGACUCCUGGAUCUCAGUCUGUUGUUCCAGGACAGACUGUCUCCAUCAAAUGUAAAACCAGUACAGAUGUUAGCAACUAUCUUCACUGGUACCUUCAGAAACCAGGAGAAGCUCCUAAACUCCUGAUAUAUGCAGCUUCAAGUCGUCACUCUGGAAUUCCGAGUCGUUUUAGUGGAAGUGGAUCUGGUUCUGACUACACUCUGACCAUCAGUGGAGUUCAGGCUGAAGAUUCAGGAGUUUAUUACUGUCAGCAGAGUUUAAGCAGCCCGUUCACACAGUGAUACAACGUCGUACAAAAACCUCCCUCAGCUGGAGAGGAACUGAUCUGAACCAACAGCUGCACUGAAACUAGAACAACAGAGAUUUCACUAAAUAAUCUUGUUUAAAAAAAUACUCUUAACAAUUCCAAUCUCAUUGUCUAUUUUUAUAAAAUGUUUUUCCUUUAAAUCAUGUUAAAGCUGGAAGACCAGUCAUGAUGCUUUUCUCUGGAGCAGCAAACACUUUUUAGUGUGGUAUCAACAGAAAGAUGGACAAACUCCUGAGCUCCUCAUUUCCUCUGCUAGCAGCAGAACAUCAGGGAUUCCAGGUCGUUUUACAGGCAGUGGAUCAAACUCUGACUUCACUCUGACCAUCAGUGGAGUUCAGGCUGAAGAUGCUGCAGUUUAUCAGUGUAAGA